AACGAACGCUGGCGGCAUGCCUAACACAUGCAAGUCGAACGAGACCUUCGGGUCUAGUGGCGCACGGGUGCGUAACGCGUGGGAACCUGCCCUUAGGUUCGGAAUAACUCCCCGAAAGGGGUGCUAAUACCGGAUAAUGUCUUCGGACCAAAGAUUUAUCGCCUUUGGAUGGGCCCGCGUUGGAUUAGCUAGUUGGUAGGGUAAAAGCCUACCAAGGCGACGAUCCAUAGCUGGUCUGAGAGGAUGAUCAGCCACACUGGGACUGAGACACGGCCCAGACUCCUAUGGGAAGCAGCAGUGGGGAAUAUUGGACAAUGGGCGAAAGCCUGAUCCAGCAAUGCCGCGUGAGUGAUGAAGGCCUUAGGGUUGUAAAGCUCUUUUACCCGGGAUGAUAAUGACAGUACCGGGAGAAUAAGCUCCGGCUAACUCCGUG
rnacentral:rRNA from 1 species